GCCGAGGUAGCCUAGUCCGGUAAGGCGCAGGCCUGGAGAGCCUGUGGGCAAUUCUGCCCUCGGGAGUUCAAAUCUCCCCCUCGGCG
rnacentral:tRNA from 1 species